rnacentral:rRNA from 1 species
UCGGGAAUUUUGGGCAAUGGGCGAAAGCCUGACCCAGCAACGCCGCGUGAAGGAUGAAGUAUUUCGGUAUGUAAACUUCGAAAGAAUAGGAAGAAUAAAUGACGGUACUAUUUAUAAGGUCCGGCUAACUACGUGCCAGCAGCCGCGGUAAUACGUAGGGACCAAGCGUUGUUCGGAUUUACUGGGCGUAAAGGGCGCGUAGGCGGCAAUUCAAGUCAUCUGUGAAAUCUCCGGGCUUAACUCGGAACGGUCAGAUGAUACUGCUUUGCUAGAGUGCAGAAGGGGCAAUCGGAAUUCUUGGUGUAGCGGUGAAAUGCGUAGAUAUAGGAAGGAACACCAGUGGCGAAGGCGACCACCUGGACUGAUACUGACACUGAGGUGCGAAAGCGUGGGGAGCAAACAGGAUUAGAUACCCAGGUAGUCCCUGAGCGGGCUGGCAAGGCGCAU